rnacentral:rRNA from 1 species
UGGCGGACGGGUGAGUAAUGUCUGGGAAACUGCCUGAUGGAGGGGGAUAACUACUGGAAACGGUAGCUAAUACCGCAUAACGUCGCAAGACCAAAGAGGGGGACCUUCGGGCCUCUUGCCAUCGGAUGUGCCCAGAUGGGAUUAGCUAGUAGGUGGGGUAACGGCUCACCUAGGCGACGAUCCCUAGCUGGUCUGAGAGGAUGACCAGCCACACUGGAACUGAAACACGGUCCAGACUCCUACGGGAGGCAGCAUG